rnacentral:rRNA from 1 species
GAGGAAUUUUCCGCAAUGGGCGCAAGCCUGACGGAGCGACGCCGCGUGAGGGAUGACGGCCUUCGGGUUGUAAACCUCUUUUAUUAAGGAAAAAGGCAAUCGUGCUAACACCACGGUUGUUUGAUGGUACUUAUUGAAUAAGCCCCGGCUAACUACGUGCCAGCAGCCGCGGUAAUACGUAGGGGGCGAGCGUUGUCCGGAGUUACUGGGCGUAAAGAGCGUGUAGGCGGUUGAAAAAGUCAGGUGUGAAAUUCUUCGGCUCAACCGAGGGACUGCGCCUGAAACUUUUCGACUGGAGUUCGGGAGGGGCAACUGGAAUUCCUGGUGUAACGGUGAAAUGUGUAGAUAUCAGGAGGAACACCCGUGGCGAAGGCGGGUGCUGGACCGAAACUGACGCUGAGACGCGAAAGCGUGGGUAGCAAACAG